AAAUUCAAACAAGUUAAACAAACUCCAAGUCUAAUUCACCAAACAAAUAACUAGAAUACCAAAAAAAUAGCAAGUUCAUUCAUGUAAAACACUAGCCAAAAUGAAUCUCAUCUCAUUCUUGAAAUCAGUAAGAACUCAGCGGCCUAUAAUAUGCUUAAACUGUUUCUUACUUACAUUUCAUCCUAUAUUAAUAUAACAAGUGAAUGCACAAGAAUUAUUACACAAUCAAUCUGACUUGCGUAAUAAAUUAAAGACCAAGUUAAUUUGUGGCUCACAAUAAGAUGUUAAAAGAAGCAU
rnacentral:misc_RNA from 1 species